AACGCACAUUGCGCCCGCCAGCAUUCUGGCGGGCAUGCCUGUCCGAGCGUCAUUUCAACCCUCAGGCUCCCGCGCCUGGCGUUGGGGAUCGGCCUUCACCGGCCGGCCCCGAAAUACAGUGGCGGCCCCGCCCGUGUACCUCUGCGUAGUAGCACAACCUCGCAGCUGGGAGCGGCGGCGGCCACGCCGGAAAACCCCCGACUUCUGAAAGUUGACCUCGGAUCAGGUAGGAAUACCCGCUGAACUUAA
rnacentral:misc_RNA from 2 species